rnacentral:rRNA from 1 species
UACAGAGGGUGCGAGCGUUAAUCGGAAUUACUGGGCGUAAAGCGUGCGUAGACGGUAGCGUAAGUCAGAUGUGAAAGCCCCGGGCUCAACCUGGGAACUGCAUUUGAGACUGCUCUGCUCGGGUGCGGAAGAGGGAAGCGGAAUUUCCGGUGUAGCGGUGAAAUGCGUAGAUAUCGGAAGGAACCCCAGUGGCGAAAGCGGCUUCCUGGUCCGACACCGACGUUCAGGCACGAAAGCGUGGGGAGCAAACAGG